rnacentral:tRNA from 1 species
GUGGGUAUACCUCAGUGGUAGAGCGUGUGCUUAGCAUACAUGAGGUCCUGGGUUCAAUCCUCAGUGCCUCCA